AUUGAACGCUGGCGGCAUGCUUUACACAUGCAAGUCGAACGGUAACAGGCCGCAAGGUGCUGACGAGUGGCGAACGGGUGAGUAAUGCAUCGGAACGUGCCCAGUCGUGGGGGAUAACGCAGCGAAAGCUGUGCUAAUACCGCAUACGAUCUGUGGAUGAAAGCGGGGGACCGUAAGGCCUCGCGCGAUUUGAGCGGCCGAUGUCAGAUUAGGUAGUUGGUGGGGUAAAGGCUCACCAAGCCGACGAUCUGUAGCUGGUCUGAGAGGACGACCAGCCACACUGGGACUGAGACACGGCCCAGACUCCUACGGGAGGCAGCAGUGGGGAAUUUUGGACAAUGGGCGCAAGCCUGAUCCAGCAAUGCCGCGUGCAGGAAGAAGGCCUUCGGGUUGUAAACUGCUUUUGUACGGAGCGAAAAGGCUCUCUCUAAUACAGGGGGCUCAUGACGGUACCGUAAGGAUAAGCACCGGCUAACUACGUGCCAGCAGCCGCGGUAACAC
rnacentral:rRNA from 1 species